rnacentral:rRNA from 1 species
AUAGAGCUUGGGUGGCGCAGCUAACGCAUUAAGUUAUCCGCCUGGGGAGUACGGUCGCAAGAUUAAAACUCAAAGGAAUUGACGGGGGCCUGCACAAGCGGUGGAGCAUGUGGUUUAAUUCGAAGCAACGCGCAGAACCUUACCAGCCUUUGACAUCCUAGGACGGUUUCUGGAGACAGACUCCUUCCCUUCGGGGACCUAGUGACAGGUGCUGCAUGGCUGUCGUCAGCUCGUAUCGUGAGAUGUUGGGUUAAGUCCCGCAACGAGCGCAACCCUCGUCCUUAGUUGCCAUCAUUUAGUUGGGCACUUUAAGGAAACUGCCGGUGAUAAGCCGGAGGAAGGUGGGGAUGACGUCAAGUCCUCAUGGCCCUUACAGGCUGGGCUACACACGUGCUACAAUGGCAUCUACAGUGGGCAGCUAUCCCGCAAGGGUGAGCUAAUCUCCAAAAGAUGUCUCAGUUCGGAUUGUCCUCUGCAACUCGAGGGCAUGAAGGCGGAAUCGCUAGUAAUCGCGGAUCAGCAUGCCGCGGUGAAUACGUUCCCAGGCCUUGUACACACCGCCCGUCACACCAUGGGAGUUGGAUUCACCCGAAGGCAGUGCGCUAACCGCAAGGAGGCAG